rnacentral:rRNA from 1 species
CUAACGCUGGUGGCAUGCUUACACAUGCGAGUCGAACGGUCACAGGUUUCGGCAUGCUGACGAGUGGCGGACGGGUGAGUGACGCGUAAGAAUCUGCCCAUCUGUGGGGGAUACCAGUUGGAAACGACUGUUAAUAGCCGCAUAAUAUCUGCGUGAUUAAAGGUGGCCUUUGUGCUGCCGCAGAUGGAUGAGCCUGUCGUUGGAUUAGCUAGUUGGUGGGGUAAAGGCCUACCAAGGCUACGAUCCAUAGCUGAUUUGAGAGGAUGAUCAGCCACAUUGGGACUGACACACGGCCCAAACUACUACAGGAGGCAGCAGUGGGGAAUAUUGGACAAUGGGCGAAAGCCUGAUCCAGCAAUGCCAUGUGUGUGAAGAAGGCUCUACGGUUGUAAAGCACUCUUACUCGGGGAGGAAAGCCUAUGAGUAAAUACCCCUGUACGAAGGACGUCACCCAAACAAUAACGACCGGCCUAACCUCCGCUUGACCAGCAAGCCCGCGGCCAACUACGGGGCGGCUCCGCAGCGCUCACUCGCGAACUUACUGCGGCCCUCACGGCGUCUGUAGGGUGGCUCUGC